CGCGGAGCCGGGAGCGCGCCGCCUGCUGCCGAGCGCUCGCCGCUCUCUCGCGCCCCUGCUCGCUGCGCUGCCCGCACCCCCGUGGAGCGCCCGGCAGCCGCCGGAGCGCGGGAGGCACACCCCGCCGGGCUCGGGCCGAGGCGGCGCGACCGCAGGUCCGACAGCCGAGGGCGCCGCGGAGGCCGGAGCGGAGGCGAAGUCCAGCCCUGAGUGAGCCCAGCUUCUGCGGAUCAGGAGUUGGACCACAGCACCUUCCCUUCCUCCCAGCCCUGCCUCCUUCUGCAGAACGAAGCUCAAUAGAACUUUGUUGUUUUGCUUUUUACGCUGAGGGGAGAGAAGCAGACGAUGAGGAGAAAAUAAUGAAUGUCAAAGGAAAAGUGAUUCUGUCAAUGCUGGUUGUGUCAACUGUAGUUGUUGUGUUUUGGGAAUAUAUCAACAGGUAAUUAUGAAACACGAUGAAAUGAUGUUGAUGAAAGUUAAUCUAGUAUUAACCAAGUCA
rnacentral:lncRNA from 1 species